rnacentral:lncRNA from 1 species
UGGACUUCCCAGCCUCUAGAGCUGUGAGAAAUAAAUUUCUGUUGUUUCUAAGCUGCCCAGUUUAUGGUAUGUUGUUAUAGCAGUUCAAACAGACUAAGACAGCCAGAAACAGGAGAGCUGACAUAGGCGGCAGGAGAAAUCCAGGCACACCCAGGUACUGCUAAUAGGUAAGGCAACAAAUACAGUAGACACGCUAUGCUGUAUUUUGGGUAAGAAUGAAAAAAAGAAUAUAUAUUUGUGUGUAUUUGGUAUUGUGUAAGGAAACUCAAGGGAUAUACAAGAAACUAAUAAAUGAUUAUGGGGGAAACAAGUUGAUUUCCAAAGCUCCUCCCAGCUGUGGCAUCCAACCUCUUCCAGGCCCCUAGGACAAGGGAGCAGGUGAGGUGGCCGGUCAGAUGAACGUGGGGGCUCCAAUCCAGGGCUGCUGAUGCCUUCACAUCCU